rnacentral:rRNA from 1 species
UACGUAGGGUGCGAGCGUUAAUCGGAAUUACUGGGCGUAAAGCGUGCGUAGGCGGUUCGUUAAGUUCGUUGUGAAAGCCCCGGGCUCAACCUGGGAAUGGCAAUGGAAAUUGGCGGGCUGGAGUAUGGCAGAGGGGGGUGGAAUUCCGCGUGUAGCAGUGAAAUGCGUAGAGAUGCGGAGGAACACCGAUGGCGAAGGCAGCCCCCUGGGCCAAUACUGACGCUCAGGCACGAAAGCGUGGGGAGCAAACAGG